rnacentral:lncRNA from 1 species
AUCAACUACAUCUCCAUUGAUGAUUGAACCUUAGCAAUUCAUUCAGUACAAAAUUGGAACAAGAUACUCCCUGACUUCAAGAAUUUCACAAUGAAUUGGGAUAGGCACAAGGGUCAGGUAAUUAUCUUAGCUCUUGCUUGGGUAGCCAGGGGUAUGUAAAUCAGAUUAGGAGCACCAGGAUUCCUUUCAAGGGAGGUGAUAUUGAGCAGAGAUGUGAUGGUAGAGUACACAUUAAUUAGGAAAACAGGUGGUGGGAAGUCAUUCUGAGCAGAGGGAAGAACAUGCGGGAAGCCAUAGAGCGUCAUAAGGCAUGACCCUAUCCCAGCGCUGCUAGAGGUUCCGUAUAUCUAAAGAUGAUGCAGGAGCCAGAACUAGGGGCUGGAUAAUGGAGAAGCUUGCAUGCUAAACUUAUUACGAACUUUAUUUUGAAAGUAGUGGAACGUUAUUGGACCACUUCAAAAGCGGAGUGUUACGUUCAGGCUUGAAUUUUAGAAAUAUCUGUCUGGUAGCCAUGUGCAGGUUGGUUGGAAAGGGAGGCAUCAGACAGGAGACGAAUGAGAAAGCUGUUGCAGUCAUCUGGGUGAGAAACCAACGAGGGCCUGAAUAAGAUGGCGGCUGGAGACUAGCGCUGGAGAGGGGGAGCCUUCCAUAUCCGGCCACUUCUCUCCACAGCCGCCAUUUUGGCAGAAGCCUAAGCCUUGCUCAUCCCUUACUUAGGCUACAUUUUCAAAAGUCAGAAAAAACUUUUUCCUGAAGAAGGGGUUUCUGAGACAAGUAGGUCAAAGAAAGGCCAGCGUGUGGGAGUGUGUGUGUGUGUGUGUGUGUGUGUGUGUGUCCUUGAGUAAAAUUGCAAGCCAAAGAGGAAGGCAGCAGUAUGUAUUCUCUGUAGGUGAGCAGGAAGCUUGCGGCCCUACACAGUGCUGACGUAAUGAGUCCGUCCUGUGCCUAUUCAUUCAAAACAGGAUUGAGACGUCAGCUUGACAAAGCUUUCUCUCCUCGCAGGACCCCUAUUUGUGACCAAUUGUAAGAUCAUCUGAAGAUCGAGUCCGAUUGCCUGGCCAGGCCGGGCUGGGUGGUAUGUGCCCCCGUCACGCCGGAGGUUCCUGCUUUAGCGACGCCAAAGAUUGGGUGUGAGGGCAGCCCGCGGUGACAGAGACACGGAUCGGACCGAGAGAAAAAGGCUGUGGGCUUCACUGAGCAGAGUGACGUCAAUUCACAGGACCUCCACAGUGUGCCUUUUGCUGGGUAGGAAAAUGCCAGCCAGCUUGGAAAACAAGAAGACACAUUUAUGUCUACCAUGAGCAUUGGCAUCAGCCAAUUAUCCCACACGUUUUCGGCUAGUCAGUGCUGAAGAGAGCAAGAAUUUCAACCCUUCUUGCUACAUUCAAGACAUAGAAAUCCAGCCAGAAGACAACUCGAGAUAUUUUGUGGAUCUAUGCCUUUCCUUCAGAAAAGCAAAUAUCUACCAUAAAAAAACACUGGUCCAAUAUUCACUUCUAUAAGAAAUGCAGGGGCAAAUAAAUUAUGGAUUUUAUUAUCGCUAAUAGAGUCACUUAACCAUUACUCCUUACUACAUUCUGCUUUUCUAACAAAAUUUCGACUGAAUAUUCUCCCUCAGAGCCUCCAAAAGGAACCAACUGAUGACAACUGAUUUUGGACUUCUGGCCUCCUGAACUAUAACAAAAUAAACAUCUGUUGUUUUAAGCAAGCCAGGUUGUGAUUGUUACAGAAGCUCUAGGAAACUAAAAUACUUAAUAUCUAAGUAUCUUAAAACUAAGAUACCUUCUUAUACCUUCUUAUCAUGCGAUCAUAGAAAAUAUGUCCAAUUAGUCACAAGUGGGAUUGGGCAAGAGAAGAUGGAUAAGGGGUGUAAAUCCUUCACCACAAUUAAGAAAUUAUACGUAGAAAUUGCAUUCUAUUGGUGAAGCAAUAAAAUCAUUGUUGGGAAUAAGAACAGCAUUACAGUGUGGUGGCUCAAACCUGUACUCCCAGCAAUUUGGGAGGCUGAGGCAGGCGAUUCA